rnacentral:rRNA from 1 species
GGAUAAUCUGCCCUCAGGUGAGGAAUAAUCCCGGGAAACUGGGGCUAAUGCCUCAUAGGAGACGGGUGCUGGAAUGCUCUGUCUCCGAAAGGUCCGCCGCCUGAGGAUGAGUCUGCGUCCGAUUAGGUUGUUGUUGGGGUAACGGCCCAACAAGCCUUUGAUCGGUACGGGUUGUGGGAGCAAGAGCCCGGAGAUGGAUUCUGAGACAUGAAUCCAGGCCCUACGGGGCGCAGCAGGCGCGAAAACUUUACAAUGCGAGCAAUCGUGAUAAGGAAACCCUGAGUGCCUGUCAAUGCAGGCUGUUCUGGUGUCUAACACACACCAGGAGAAAGGGCGGGGCAAGACCGGUGCCAGCCGCCGCGGUAAUACCGGCUGCUCGAGUGAUAGCCACUUUUACUGGGCUUAAAGCGUUCGUAGCUUGGUCGCUAAGUCUCUGGGGAAAUCUUUUGGCUCAACCAAAAGGCGUCUCAGGGAAACUGACGAUCUUGGAACCGGGAGAGGUAAGACGUACUUCGGGGGUAGGAGUGAAAUCUUGUAAUCCCCGAGGGACGACCGAUGGCGAAGGCAUCUUACCAGAACGGCUUCGACAGUGAGGGACGAAAGCUGGGGGAGCAAACCGGAUUAGAUACCCGGGUAGUCCCAGCCGUAAACGAUGUGCGUUAGGUGUGUCAGUGACCACGAGUCGCUGAGGUGCCGAAGGGAAACCGUGAAACGCACCGCCUGGGAAGUACGGUCGCAAGGCUGAAACU